rnacentral:rRNA from 1 species
GAUGAACGCUGGCGGCGUGCCUAAUACAUGCAAGUCGAGCGAACGGACGAGAAGCUUGCUUUUCUGAUGUUAGCGGCGGACGGGUGAGUAACACGUGGAUAACCUACCUAUAAGACUGGGAUAACUUCGGGAAACCGGAGCUAAUACCGGAUAAUAUUUUGAACCGCAUGGUUCAAAAGUGAAAGACGGUCUUGCUGUCGCUUAUAGAUGGAUCCGCGCUGCAUUAGCUAGUUGGUAAGGUAACGGCUUACCAAGGCAACGAUGCAUAGCCGACCUGAGAGGGUGAUCGGCCACACUGGAACUGAGACACGGUCCAGAUUCCUACGGGAGGCAGCAGUAGGGAAUCUUCCGCAAUGGGCGAAAGCCUGACGGAGCAACGCCGCGUGAGUGAUGAAGGUCUUCGGAUCGUAAAACUCUGUUAUUAGGGAAGAACAUAUGUGUAAGUAACUGUGCACAUCUUGACGGUACCUAAUCAGAAAGCCACGGCUAACUACGUG